UCCAUCUGGAAUAGCUUUCACAGCGUAGUUUCUAAUCUAAUCUUUAGAUCGUUAUACUUGAAGAAUAAAAAGAAGCUUUUACAUUUAGAUUGUUAUACGAUUUCAUAAUGAAUUCCUUCAAAAACCACUUACUAUCUUGUGGUGAUUUUGUCAACAUCUAUUUUAAGAAUGUAUUGUAUUUAAUGUUCUUGAUAGUAUGAUUAAGUAUCUGGAGACUUUUGUUUUUUAUAGGUUAGAAUUUAGUUUCGUGGGCAAUUUUUUACAUGUCUAUGUACAUGUAAAGACAUUGCUGAUUGGUUUCAAACCAAAAGGGUGCACUGAUUUAACACAAAGUCUCAGAUUGUUAGCAUGGAACUUACGGACCAUUUUAGAGUGAGCCGAAAAGCGGCUAUUCAGUCAGUAAAUACUACAAACAAGCAGCAUAUAUUUUUGUGCCAGUUUUUGAAACUGAUAGAUUUCAUGUGAAUAUUAGUGCUCUACUUAAAAUUAUGAACUGAAUGAAUGAAUAUGAAUUAUGAAAGAAUGACAUAUUUGUUGAAUAACCUGGCACUUGAAAGUGUCAUAUUAACACCAUUUUCAAAUAGAGGACUGUUAAAUGGACUGCAAAUUAAUAACAAUAUGCAAUAUUCCAGCAACGGAAUAAAAAUUAAGCAUUGCAACGGAGGACUCAGCAAAAUUUGCAUCAGGUAUUUUAAAUUACCCGAGCAUGUUUAUUCUUUACAAUUUCGGGUAGCAAGAUGGUUAAAGGGUGUCAUGAUAGAACGAAAUGAAGAAAGUGCAGCUCCAAAUUUACAUCAGGAUAUUCAGGAUGAUAUAAGUGCAUCAGAAAAACUAAAUCACAAAUCACACACACAAAUCACAACAUCAACUGUUUAUGAUUGAUUAUUUAUUUAAAAAAAUAUAUAUAAAAAAGUUUUGUCACUUCUCUAUGGGUUUUUUUUUUCUUUGUCAUUUUCAUCACAUUAAAAUGGAAACGAUGUUCUCUACCUUAAUUGCAUAUCUAUGUUUAUGACUAAAAUCCCUCUUACUCACGCAUCCCCCUUUGCGCUUGACUCGCACCGAUUAAAAAUGCGGUAGGGAGAGUUGGUGACUCAGGUGAAAAAUAAAUACAGUCAGGCGAUACCGCUUAAACGCUACGCGCGGAUCAAAACAGUGCGCCGCUUUAGUCCGACAAACGCUUGCGUGGUGAUACGGUGUGUCGUCGCGAUUGAAAUCAUCGGGGAAACGCGACGACUACGUAAUUUCCCAGCUGAUCGCUGACAGGUGCGUCCGUCGCUUGAUCAAAUAAUGAACGUUUAACACAAAUGGCAAGCGAAGUAAUCCAAAUACCGCUCGGCAAAGUGGUCGUCGACAUCGUCCUAUUGAACUGCGUGGGGUGGCCGAUACUGUUCCUGUAUCUUUGGGGUAGCGCAUUUCACCGGGGGUUUUUCUGUGACGAUGAGAGUUUGCGGCAUCCCUAUCACGAAUCGACCGUGCCCAGUUGGAGCCUUUACAUCACCGGAAUUGGGCUGAACUGUCUCGUGAUGGUUCUAACAGAAUUCUUAAACAGGCCCGGCGACAACAAAAGGGAAAUCUAUUUUAUGGGGUGGAACGUCCCUCAGUGGGUGUACAACGGUUAUUGCGCCAUUGGAAUUUUCGCAUUCGGAGCGGCAUGCUCCCAAUUGACGACGGAUGUUAUGAAAUACACGAUAGGACGACUGAGGCCUCAUUUUUACACCGUUUGCGAGCCUAACAUAGACUGUUCUUUGCCAGAAAAUCAGCACAUUUACCACAUAAACUUCAGUUGUACGAACCCAUCUUAUAUUUACAAUAAGAGGGUCAUGAAAGAAAUGAGAUUAUCAUUCCCGUCGGGACAUUCUUCUUUUUCUAUGUAUUCUAUGUUGUAUUUUGCGAUUUACUUGCAAAAAAGGAUGACAUGGGACGGCUCGAAACUGUUGAAGCACACGCUCCAAUUUUUGGCCGUUCUCAAUGCGGUGUUCACCGCGAUGACUAGGGUGUCAGACUACAAACACCACUGGAGCGACGUCCUCUCGGGCUUGCUACUGGGGGCUAUCGUCGCCAGCAUUACCGAUAUUUGCUUUGCACGGUUGAGGUCCUGCAAUCUAAAAUUAAGAGACGCUUACGUACCGAUCUAAAUUAGACACGGGGGUGUGCAUGCAAUAAAAUCGUUUUAGAAUUUCGAAAUUAAAGACGCGCUUUUUUAGUACUUUCUUCACCAGGACCGCCCCGCCACUACUGCAGGCUUUAAGUCAUUCCGAAUUAUCGAAUCUAAAUGGAAACAAUAUUCGCAGUCACGUGUGAAACCACGUGACACACUCCGACGAGAAUUUUAGAAUUAGAGAAAUAUUAGUUAUAAGUAUUUAUUAUGCAACGCUCGGGAAUAUGAAGAUAUUCGCACGGGGUCCACAAUUGUACAGGGUGACCCAAAUUGGACACUUUUAACCACGUUAGUUCUUGCAAGUUUUGUUCUUGUAAAGUAAAAAGUUGCUUUGAUAAUAUUUUUAUAGAAACGCAAAAUUUUCCAUAACAAAAAAUUUGCGUCGAUUUUUUAAAAAUGCGCAUUUUCCAAAAACACUCUACUUUGAUAUCUGUGUGCAGUUUUUACUAUUAGGUGUUUUAUGAAAAUUGAGCCCCAGACAUUAGUUUUCGUCUAUCUCCUUUAGAGACGGGAGUUUCCCUUUAAAAGGGUCGAAUUUGACCACCGUGUACAGCCUGUCAAAUUUUCUUUGUUGUUACUAUGGUCGAUUUUCUUGAAACAAUACAUUUCAGCCCUUUGCAUUUCAAUACCCUGUACUGUAAUCAGAUUAUGGAAACGAAAUCAUAUAGAUAAUUUUACGUAGUAGCGUACUCAGAUUUUUGGUAAAAAAUAGAAUUUUAAGAUACAAGCUAAGCUAAUUUUCAAAAUUUAGAUUGCGCUUUUUAGACCCUAUUCAAAAAUAUGUAAUUGCCUAAAUGUGUAAUUUUAAAUAUCCUUACUUUAUUCCCUUCAAUGUAUUAUUAUUGUUUUUUAUUAUAAUCAGAAAAAAUAGAAACUACAGAAUACAAAAAAUUAUUAAAAAUGUAUAUAAUAGGCUAUGCAAAAGUCUUGGAUCAGAAAGCAAUAUGAGGCAUGAACUGCUAUGACAAUAAUGUAAUCUAGAAUACUCUUUUCUUAAAUAUAUUGUGUACAUAAAUAUAUAGUAGUAAAUAUAUAUUUUUUAAUUCUCUAUUAAAAAUUCUUUAAUAAUUUUAAAUCGCUUUUAAAGAACGUUUAAAAUGUUCAAUAGACUGAAUACACUGAAUUCUGGAUUCUACGUUCUAUACGGUCAUCGCCGUGAAUGCUCAAAGACUAAUUCGUAAAUUAUGGAAAAAAUUUAUAAUUUUUUAUAUUAAAUUAAAAUAGAAAACAAGUAUAUUUUCUAAAAUAUCAAAAUAUGUGCUUAUUUUAAAAUAUAUAUAUUUGGACAAUUACAGAGUUUCGAAAAACAUAUAUACCAGUCAAAUUUAAAAAACUAUACAGAGUGCGUCAUUAAAAUUAUAUAUUUUACAAGAAAUCUGAGUACACCUUUGGAUUCUAUGCAAAAGGAGCCCGUUUCCAUCAUCUCCUUAAGUUACAGGGAGUUUAAAAUAUACAGGGUAAAUGACUAAAUUUUCAGUUUCACCUGGUAUUUUGGAAACAAGGCUAGCUACGAUUGUUUUGAAAAUUCCAACUUUUGUUUCACGAAAAUUGAACACAAUAUUGCAAAAACCUGAUCUCUAAAAAAUGGAUACAGUAUAAUAAUAUACAGUAAUAAAAUAACGAGAACCAUUUGUAUCUUACCUAUCUUAUAUUUCGGGAAUCCACAAUUACCUGUCUCCGGGGUGCCACAAAGUACCGUCUGAGAGUAAAGAGCGCGAUGGGCAAAUAUUUUGAACUACGCCGGAGACUGGCUCUUUGGAUUUUGUUAAUGUUGACAGUUAAAAUAAUUUUUUUUUGCCAGAUGAACGUUUUGUAAGGGAAAGGUGGCGAGAGGUAAACAAAGCUCACACGAUGUUAUUUAAACUUAUUUAUUUAUUUAAGCGGGGUAUUAUUUUUAUUAUUAUUAUGUUUAUUUACCCCAACCACUUUAAAUUAUAGUUUUUAAAUAAAAAUUUCAAGAAAAACAGAAAAAAUGACGACGUAGAAUUUUUAAUCUUCGUAUUUGCGUUUUUUGUAAAAAAUAGUUAAUGUUGCUGUAACUCUUCUUAUGAAAUUCUAGGUUCUGCUUAGAUUGUAGAUUUUAUUAGGAAAGCGUACAAUGAUGUCACUGUUUCUUGACCGAAAAAAUCGUCAAAUAUCUAUCUUCAUUUCGUUUCGUUCUAGUUCCUGUUCCGUAACGAGACAACACAGACGAGAGAGGGAAUGAAAUACUUUUCGCUCUGGAAGCAAUGACACCACUGUUUAGUUUUCUAAUACUUCUUCUUGUAACAGUUAUGCGUUCUUGCCCGUGGCAAAGCAUAGCUCAAAUCUAUUCUCGGAUCAACGUGAGGUUUUCUGAAACUUUAAAACUAUAAACCCCUGAAAAAUUGCCAAAUUUGCUCGAGGGGUAAAUUGAUCUAGUUAUUUUCUUUCUAUAGUGUUGGUACACAUCCGAUAGAAAGUGCCCAAAUUUAUAUAUUAGCUAGUAGUGGUUAUUAUUUUGCGAUCUUCUGUGAUGUUACGUAUAGGAACUCUUUUUAAACCGUCAUUAUUCAUCAUGCUAUUUUUAUUGGUAAUAAAGUUACAUUAUAGGAAAAAAGAGAAAAUGCGAUUAAAUUAAAAUUAAAUGGAAAAAAAGAAAGUAGUUUCCGAAAAAGCGGUAAUACAUUUUUUUUAGCGCAGCUUAACAAUGGAUAUAAUAAGAAAAAAUUGAUGUUUGUUUAUUUUCUAGUCAAUAUCUUAUUUAUUGUUUCUAAAUAAAGGGAAAGGGUCGACAAAAUAUAUUGACGUUAAAAUAGACGUUUACGUUUUUUUGUUUACUUGAACUAUCUUUUAUAGUUUCUAUACGCACGGUUAAUUAGCAAAAAUGUAAAGUGUAAACCAACGAUUAUUUUUCGGCUUCACGUGGUUAGUUUCAAUAUCUACUGGCCAUUGUGAUGAAAUAUUAGCAAUUAUGUUUAUAUCAAUUUGAUCGAUAGAUUCAAAUGUUUCAAAGCAAUAAAAGAAAUUAAAUUUUUCUGUGUGUAGCUACGUGAAUUUUGUGGGUUAUAUUGAUUGGAAAUCGCACAACUUUUAUUAAUUAAUUAAGUAUUAUAGACCUAAAGCUUAUAAAUAAAAGACGAUUUUCAGGUUAUGAGUUUCCUUUC